GAUGAACGCUGGCGGCAUGCUUUACACAUGCAAGUCGGACGGGAAGUGGUGUUUCCAGUGGCGGGCGGGUGAGUAACGCGUAAGAACCUGCCCUUGGGAGGGGAACAACAGCUGGAAACGGCUGCUAAUACCCCGUAGGCUGAGGAGCGAAAGGAGGAAUCCGCCCAAGGAGGGGCUCGCGUCUGAUUAGCUAGUUGGUGAGGUAAUAGCUUACCAAGGCCGUGAUCAGUAGCUGGUCCGAGAGGAUGAUCAGCCACACUGGGACUGAGACAAGGCCCAGACUCCUACGGGAGGCAGCAGUGGGGAAUUUUCCGCAAUAGGCGAAAGCCUGACGGAGCAAUGCCGCGUGGAGGUAAAAGGCCUACGGGUCAUGAACUUCUUUUCCUGGAGAAGAAACAAUGACGGUAUCUGGGGAAUAAGCAUCGGCUAACUCUGUG
rnacentral:rRNA from 1 species